UCGACGACGAACAGUCGCGUCCGGCGGCCGCGUCGUCCUCCCUCGACACUGGGUCACCUAACCGCCGCCGCCGUCGUCCGGAUCUAUCUAUGCAGGCCUCGGCUUUUCCUGGUUCGUGGAACUCGUAUUAUAGUCGUCGUCCCUCGCCACCGCCACUGCUGCCGCCGCCGCCGUCGGAGUUUGUGUGUUUUGUACGUAUUUUUGUCGGAACUACACACAGUCGUUGAACCCCGUUCGCACGCACGCACCAGGAAGGUCGGCAUUUCAAACUUCAAACGUGUACCGCGGCGUUGUGUACAACACGAACCGCACAAGAAAUCCGAUAACUUAUACACAAUAAACAAUAUAUACAUCUGUAACAUUAUUCCGCGUUUAUACAGCACUAUUAGACUACAAAGUUCAAAUAUUAUGGAUUUUUACAAUCACACAUAAUAUGUUGUGGCGUACACAUAUAAAUAAAACCCUAGCAAGAUUACUAGCACAGGGGUAAUGACACAAAACAAUGGAACAGUGAUAUAUACACCUGUCGUUUUAUGCAAUUAAGAAAACAUAUUAUGAUGAAUGAACAUAUAUUUUUUAUUUGAACUUGAAACUAUACUGCCAAUAUUAUUUAUGUGUACCUACGCAAUACGCAUUUCUAAGUAUAGGU